rnacentral:piRNA from 1 species
UAAGAUGAUUGUGCACGUGUGUGUGUGU